rnacentral:rRNA from 1 species
CUUGCUCAGAUAUGACGAUGGACAUUGCAAAGAGUGGCGAACGGGUGAGUAACACGUGGGAAACCUACCUCUUAGCAGGGGAUAACAUUUGGAAACAGAUGCUAAUACCGUAUAACAAUGACAACCGCAUGGUUGUUAUUUAAAAGAUGGUUCUGCUAUCACUAAGAGAUGGUCCCGCGGUGCAUUAGCUAGUUGGUAAGGUAAUGGCUUACCAAGGCGAUGAUGCAUAGCCGAGUUGAGAGACUGAUCGGCCACAAUGGGACUGAGACACGGCCCAUACUCCUACGGGAGGCAGCAGUAGGGAAUCUUCCACAAUGGGCGAAAGCCUGAUGGAGCAACGCCGCGUGUGUGAUGAAGGGUUUCGGCUCGUAAAACACUGUUGUAAGAGAAGAAUGACAUUGAGAGUAACUGUUCAAUGUGUGACGGUAUCUUACCAGAAAGGAACGGCUAAAUACGUGCCAGCAGCCGCGGUAAUACGUAUGUUCCAAGCGUUAUCCGGAUUUAUUGGGCGUAAAGCGAGCGCAGACGGUUAUUUAAGUCUGAAGUGAAAGCCCUCAGCUCAACUGAGGAAUUGCUUUGGAAACUGGAUGACUUGAGUGCAGUAGAGGAAAGUGGAACUCCAUGUGUAGCGGUGAAAUGCGUAGAUAUAUGGAAGAACACCAGUGGCGAAGGCGGCUUUCUGGACUGUAACUGACGUUGAGGCUCGAAAGUGUGGGUAGCAAACAGGAUUAGAUACCCUGGUAGUCCACACCGUAAACGAUGAGUGCUAGGUGUUUGAGGGUUUCCGCCCUUAAGUGCCGCAGCUAACGCAUUAAGCACUCCGCCUGGGGAGUACGACCGCAAGGUUGAAACUCAAAGGAAUUGACGGGGACCCGCACAAGCGGUGGAGCAUGUGGUUUAAUUCGAAGCAACGCGAAGAACCUUACCAGGUCUUGACAUCCCUUGACAACUCCAGAGAUGGAGCGUUCCCUUCGGGGACAAGGUGACAGGUGGUGCAUGGUUGUCGUCAGCUCGUGUCGUGAGAUGUUGGGUUAAGUCCCGCAACGAGCGCAACCCUUAUUACUAGUUGCCAGCAUUCAGUUGGGCACUCUAGUGAGACUGCCGGUGACAAACCGGAGGAAGGUGGGGAUGACGUCAAAUCAUCAUGCCCCUUAUGACCUGGGCUACACACGUGCUACAAUGGCGUAUACAACGAGUUGCCAACCCGCGAGGGUGAGCUAAUCUCUUAAAGUACGUCUCAGUUCGGAUUGUAGGCUGCAACUCGCCUACAUGAAGUCGGAAUCGCUAGUAAUCGCGGAUCAGCACGCCGCGGUGAAUACGUUCCCGGGUCUUGUACACACCGCCCGUCACACCAUGAGAGUUUGUAACACCCAAAG